rnacentral:lncRNA from 1 species
UAAAAUAUUCCAUCUGAACUUAUUAUUUUAUUUUAGACAAACACUUUAUGUAGGAUUGGCUUAGUUAGCUGGCAUUUAAAGUUGCGCCUUCCUUAAACUAUUUAAUAUGAAAACGUUCCACUUGUGUCACAAUAACCAAGAGUAGUUUCUGUAAGGGUUCAUGCCAUAAGUGUUUCCCAUAAACUGAAAUGCAAAAGAAUCGACUACAGAAAAAGAACAAUUAACGCUUUAAUUUCAAAACCGCUCAAUUGCCAAAACACACUGUAAUGCAAAAUCAGAAUGUACAAAACAGAACUCAAAACAUACACAACAGAUUUGGUCGAACUUUCGGACAAUCUCUUUUAACGUUGCUUAUGGCAUAGGUUACAUUGCCUUCGACGGUGACAUUUAAACCAAGGUUAUGGUGCAUCAUUAGCUAUAAGAAGAUGUGGUAUGGGUGUAAAUGAAAUAACGCUCCAUUCAAGUGACAAUUUGUAAAAGUAAACCAACCAUUAUAGGUUAAAGUACGGCUUUCAACACGACUUACACCGAACAGCAAGCUAUAAAGGGCCCCCAAAAAUGACUUCUCAUUCAAAUAGGAAAACAAAAGGUCUUAUCUCUAUAAAAACGAGUAACACUUAUGAACCACAUUGACUAGCGACAGCCACUAAACAUCAGGUUCCCGACUUAGAACAGGUGCAUUGCCGAUAGAAAUCGUAUUCGAAGAUAUUGCUACGGUGCUAAAUGCUACCCUUUACGAAUAGGUUUACAUGGAUCGUAUUUAAUUUUAGUGCUUCAUAGAUAAAUUACAUACACGUUUUGUUUUCAUAAACCACGUAGUUGGCAGAAGGGUCGAUUUUGAGUCUUUAUACUGUUUUUUUUAAGAAAAAAAAACACCAUUAAACAUAACGGAGGCGAUACCACUUUUUAUGCUUUUGUUUUCGGUAUAUUUCUUCCUAUAAUGGAGCUUUCAUCAAAUUUGUAUCUGGUCCCUCCCAAAAAGGUAAAACAUGUGUCUUAUCAUUACAAUUAUGUAUCCAUUUUAUCACUGUUUAAACAGCUUGGAUGGAUGACAGUAGAGAACAGAAUCUCAUACCACAAAUCAAUUUUGAUGCAUAAAUGCCUUAAGAAUGAAACCCCUGUAUAUCUCACUGAAAAAUUUAAAGAAAUGCCAGAAAUAAACCAAUAUUGCUUGAGAAAUGCC